CCCUUAGAUGUUCUGGGCCGCACGCGUGCUACACUGAGUGGAUCAGCGGGUCAGGUUGCGCGAAAGUGUUUCCUAAUCUUGAAAUCCGCUCGUGCUGGGGAUUGACGGUUGCAAUUUUCCGUCAUGAACGAGGAAUACCUUGUAAGCGCGGGUCAUCAUCCCGCGCUGAAUACGUCCCUGCCCUUUGUACACACCGCCCGUCGCUCCUACCGAUUGAGUGGUCCGGUGAGGCUUUGGGAUCUGAGCGGAAAGAGCGUUUCGCUGUUUCUGCUCGGAAAACUCAGUCGAACCUUAUCAUUUAGAGGAAGGAGAAGUCGUAACA
rnacentral:rRNA from 1 species